rnacentral:tRNA from 1 species
UUUGCUGUAGCUCAGAGGUGGAGCAUGUGCUUAGCAUAUGCACGGCUCUGGGUUCAAUCCCCAGCACCAAAA